GUUAUAAACGGUUGUGGGGUUUUCGGUUGUGUGAUGUGACCGUCAGAAAACCGCAAUUGUACACGUGGUCCGUUCACAUCACCGGGCGCGCGGGGAAGCGCAUCCGGACCGUCUCUUACGUCACCAAAGGGGAGGUUUCCUCUCGCGCGGCGGCGGCGGCAGGAUGAGAGAGAGGAGAAGAGCUCGCGCUGCCGCUGCUGCGUUCCCCGUCGCCACCGCCCAGUAAGAGGCACCUGUAACCGGGAGCGCGUGCACGUUACCGUUAAAAGAACAAAUAUACAAAUAUAUAUUUAUUUAUUUCUUUCUACAAAGUUGGACCGGAUUUUCGCCUUUGGAUGAUUUAAGGACCUUGCUUUCCUUUGCGCUUUCACGCCAACGCGGGCGCACCGCGCAACGCACAAGGAUUUAGGAUACAGCUCAGUCUCCCGCGCCUCGCCAUGGGAUGCUCGUUAAGCGUGGAGGAGCGUGAGGCUCUAGAAAAGAGCAAAGCCAUCGAGAAGAACCUGAAGGAGGACGGAAUCUAUGAAGCGAAAGUAGUAAAGCUGCUGCUGCUCGGUGGAGGAGAGUCUGGGAAGAGCACUAUUGUCAAACAGAUGAAGAUUAUCCAUGAAGAUGGUUUCAGUGGCGACGACUUAAAGCAGUUUAAACCCAUCGUCUACAGCAACACCAUUCAGAGUCUCUUCUCCGUUCUAAAAGCUAUGGAGAACCUCAGCAUUGAGUAUGAAGACAAGGACAGGACAUCUGAUGGAAAGUUGGUCUGUGACAUAAUCACCCGUAUGGAGGACACGGAGCCGUACACACCUGAAGUUCUGUUGGCCAUGAAGCGUUUGUGGAAAGAUGGAGGAGUUCAGGCCUGCUUCAACCGAUCACGAGAAUAUCAGCUCAAUGACUCGGCUCAAUAUUACCUGGACAGUUUGGACCGAAUCGGAGCAACUGACUAUAUGCCCACUGAGCAGGACAUUUUGAGGUCGCGGGUUAAAACCACCGGUAUUGUGGAGACUCACUUCAGCUUCAAGAACCUGCACUUCAGGCUGUUCGAUGUAGGAGGUCAGAGAUCAGAGAGAAAAAAAUGGAUUCACUGCUUUGAAGGUGUGACGGCUAUAAUCUUCUGUGUGGCGAUGAGCGGCUAUGACCAAAUGUUACAUGAAGAUGAGACAACAAAUCGUAUGCACGAGUCGCUCAUGCUGUUUGACUCCAUCUGUAAUAAUAAGUUUUUUGUCGACACGUCCAUCAUCCUCUUCCUCAACAAGAAGGAUCUUUUUUCAGAGAAGAUUAAGAAAUCUCCGCUGACCAUGUGCUUCCCAGAGUAUACAGGUCCGAACACGUACGAUGACGCGUCAGCGUACAUUCAGGUUCAGUUUGAGAGUAAAAAUCGUUCACCUAAUAAAGAGAUUUACUGCCACCAGACGUGUGCGACUGACACGGGAAACAUUCAGGUGGUGUUCGAUGCCGUCACUGACAUCAUCAUCGCCAACAACCUGCGUGGCUGUGGCCUGUACUGAGCUCCAACAAGCUGCAGCGAGCACGCCGUCACCCAAAUCAUCGUUUGUCGUCAUGGUUAAUUACAGUUAACUUUGGAAAGAUCCUACAUUCCAAAAACAAAUCAAAAUUCUCAGGAUGGUAAAGAGACCAGUGUCUGCUGUAUCCUUUUUGUUUAUCUAUUAGUGAAUUUCUCAAAAAACGUUCAUAUCUAAUGAGAUAUUCAUCAUUUGUUUUAUUUUUAAUGUCAUUUCCAAAACAACGCGUCUCUCAGGCCAAAAGCCGUUUGGGUGAAUCGUAGCUCAGAUAAAUCUGCUGGAUCUAAUACUUUACAUCGAGGUUCUUUUUAACUGACAUCAUUUAACACACUCAUUAACAUAAACACACACUCAAACUAAACAUCAGCGUUAAUGCACCGUCAGGAACAGGCUAAUUAACACUCGUUAAACGUUCGGUGAUUUUUAAAAAUAAUAAGCCAAUUAACCACAAACAGCUGCGUUCGCUAACAUUUACGUCAUUGUCGUUAUCCUCGAUCUAAUAUUUACACCUGCAGAUCAGUGUUCAGGAAGUUUAUAUUGUUCACUGGAACAUUAUUUAAUGCGGUCGUAAAUUUCAUUAACAUUUCAACAAUCCGGAAAAGUCACAGCUCGAUCUCUGACCCCCGUGUCUCCUUCCAUUAAUGUAAUAUCGAUAAACGUCUCCUAAAGUCAUCGACGUAAAAUUGACACACGCCGAUCACGUGGUAGAACGAACGCAUACGGAGAAUUAAUCAACACCUUCUGACCAAUCACAGUCCAGGAUUCGGCAGCGCCGUGGGAGAAUUGACGUUCCUUGAUGUUUAUGUGGCACCUAAUUCUUGUCAAGAAUAGCUUCAUGUAAAAUGUUACAUUUGCUUUGUAAAUUAUUCUAUUUAUUGAGUUGUGUAUAGAACAUGAACAUGAAUAUUGUGUGUACAGAUUUUUUAUCUCCCACAGGUACGUGUUAGAUUUAUAAACAGAACCGAGCGGUUCGGAACUCUGACGGAUAUAUAUCACCAUUUAGAGGAAGACAAAUGUAGCAGAUAGAAAAUUAAAGCACAGUCUUAAUUAUACCAAUAUUAAUAAAUAAACAAACUACUGAACUCUUCAUCUGUGUGUGUGUGUGUGUGUGUGUGUGUGUGUGUGUGUGUGUGUGUGUGUGUGUGUGAGAGAGAGAGAGAGAGAGAGAGAGAGAGAUUAAACCUUUCUCAUGUUUCCUGUCCUUUUUUUUUUUUAAAGCUCUCUCUGUCUUUUCCUUGUCUUUGUCACCUGAUGAAACGUUUACAAUAAAAUCAGUUUGGAUCCA